GAUGAACGCUAGCGACAGGCUUAACACAUGCAAGUCGAGGGGCAGCACAGGUAGCAAUACCGGGUGGCGACCGGCGCACGGGUGAGUAACGCGUAUGCAACUUACCUAUCAGAGGGGGAUAACCCGGCGAAAGUCGGACUAAUACCGCAUGAAGCAGGGGUCCCGCAUGGGGAUAUUUGCUAAAGAUUCAUCGCUGAUAGAUAGGCAUGCGUUCCAUUAGGCAGUUGGCGGGGUAACGGCCCACCAAACCGACGAUGGAUAGGGGUUCUGAGAGGAAGGUCCCCCACAUUGGUACUGAGACGCGGACCAAACUCCUACGGGAGGCAGCAGUGAGGAAUAUUGGUCAAUGGCCGAGAGGCUGAACCAGCCAAGUCGCGUGAGGGAUGAAGGUUCUAUGGAUCGUAAACCUCUUUUAUAAGGGAAUAAAGUGCGGGACGUGUCCCGUUUUGUAUGUACCUUAUGAAUAAGGAUCGGCUAACUCCGUG
rnacentral:rRNA from 1 species